UGCCGGGUGGCCCAAUCGGUAGGGCAAGUGACUCUGGAUCACGAGGUUGGAGGUUCGAGUCCUCCCCCGGCAGCCA
rnacentral:tRNA from 1 species